CAGGGAAUCUUCGGCAAUGGGGGGAACCCUGACCGAGCAACGCCGCGUGAGUGAAGAAGGUUUUCGGAUCGUAAAGCUCUGUUGUUAAGGAAGAACGAGUGUGAGAAUGGAAAGUUCAUACUGUGACGGUACUUAACCAGAAAGGGACGGCUAACUACGUGCCAGCAGCCGCGGUAAUACGUAGGUCCCGAGCGUUGUCCGGAUUUAUUGGGCGUAAAGCGAGCGCAGGCGGUUAGAAAAGUCUGAAGUGAAAGGCAGUGGCUCAACCAUUGUAGGCUUUGGAAACUGUUUAACUUGAGUGCAGAAGGGGAGAGUGGAAUUCCAUGUGUAGCGGUGAAAUGCGUAGAUAUAUGGAGGAACACCGGUGGCGAAAGCGGCUCUCUGGUCUGUAACUGACGCUGAGGCUCGAAAGCGUGGGGAGCGAACAGG
rnacentral:rRNA from 1 species